GAAGAAGCCUAUUACUGUGGGCUCCAGUCUCCCCUUUGUCACCACAUAUUCACCUUCUACUAUGGCAUUGGUCAGAGGAUGCAGAAGGAGAUUCCUCUCCCACACCACAGGGUCUUCUGUCCUGCAGGACCACAGGAUCAUCCCGGCCUACAGGAGAAACAAGAAUCUACUGGAUUAUCUGGUAAAGGCCAAAUUAAAACCUCUGCACAGCACUAAGGGGAGAGGUCAGAGUGAUGUCUUUUUUAAACACAGAAAAUGGCUGCAAAGCCACAGCACGGGAGAUGUUUUUCUGAACUCAGCCAGGGGAAACACCAAGUCUAAGAACUGUGUUUACCUCAUCACGUGUGUACAAUGUGGAUUACAAUAUGUGGGGGAGACGGGGAACACCAUCGCGACCCGCUUCACACAACACAAACACAACAUCAUUAAAAAGAAAAAAACACUGACGCCACUUGUGGCACAUUUUAUUUCGCACGGCUGGAAAUCUGUGUCUGUGUGUGUGAUCCAGACGAACCCCGGAUGGAGCGCUCCCCAGAGGAGGAGAGCGGAGAGGGGCUGGAUCAAUAAAUUAAACACCAGGUAUCCUAAGGGCUUAAAUGAGGACUAAGAGCUGCGGGCUGUGAGGCAGUGCUGGACAGUGCGCAGAUGGUCCUGCUUGCAGGUCCAUCAAAAACUAUUUAUUCCCUAACCGGCCCGUGCCGCCUGCUGAGCAGCCUGCGGUCUCUACGGUUCUCUCAUACAGCCCACCCUGUUAUUUGGUCCUAAACACAACCACUUCAUAACCCAUGCCUAAACCUAAUCCUUUACAGCCCACCCGGUUAUUUUAUCCUAAACACAACCACUCCAUAACCUAUGCCUAAUCUUAACCCUUCAUCAUGUGUGGUGGCACUGUAAAUAUUUCUGCUUAUUGAAAAAAAUGUGUGUAUUAUUCAUAUUCCAUUACUGUUUCUAAUUUUAAUAAUUCAAUGUAUGAUGUUUGCUGAUGUUAUUAUCAUGUUUAUGCGUUAUUACUAAGUGAUUCAUGUUUCUGGUUUCGACGAUGCUGGUAUUUCGGAUUGUGAGACGGGUGCAUUGAACGUCUCACUGUAUGCGAUGCACCUAGAGAUUCGUAGUUCAGCGCAGCUAUUGGUCAGCUAAACCGGGGAGGGGAAAGGUCACGGCCGCCAUAUUGGCGACGCCCUAGCCGGACCGUCAUUUCACCGAGCUGACCAGAGCGACAACAACAGCGCGCACCUUUAGCUCACACUUUUUGACAAGUUCUAUAGCCUGAGGAAGGAUAUUCUUUAUAUCCGAAACGUUGCUAAACUGUUUAAACUUGUUCCGUUUAUUGUUUUAUUUUUGUUGUUAUUGUUCCAGUUAAUAAAAGGUAAAAAGAACAACUUUUCCUUCGCCUUUUUUUUCGUGGCUAGUGAACACGAGGCUUCACUAGCUAGCGACAUGUACGGGCGUGGCCGGGAGGAUGAAGGCGAGUGGACGCUGGUGCAGUACGGCAGACGCGGUAGGCGCCGCAAUCAGCACGCUCCGCCACAGGACCAGCGCCGAGCCCCGCAACAGUUCCAGCCGCAACAGCCCCGCUUUCAGCAGAACGCACCGCCACGUUUCCAGCGACAGCAGCCCCGCUAUCCACGCGACACCUACGCGAACGCUGUCCGGAGACCCGCGGAUCGGGGAGGCGCCCCGCGGUGGCGCUAUGAUGGCGGCCAGGAUGACAGGUACACGGGACGUCCCGCUAACCGCGGUCCCCGUCCAAGACCCGCACAGCCCCGGUCCUUCGACUCCCGCUUUCAACGCCCCCCCUAUAAUAAUAAUAGCAAUAACAAUAGCAACGUAAAUAGCAAUAACACACGGUACCAGCGAAACCAGAACCAGAACAAUGAGGGCGCUCAGAAUAGGCCCAGAUCUGACGACCCACUUUUCACUGUUAAAUGCCGGAUCCUCCAUAAGAUCAUUAAAGCGGCACAUCAUUUUUCUAACAUUGUUAUAACACACCCACCGGUCACGAUCUCUAGAAUGACCCAGCAGUUAGCCGCAUUCAUUAAGCCGGCUAUUCCCAACACGGCCACGCAGAUGCUUAUUGACGGCAACGCUAAGAACUGGGAGCACACUGCGUUGGUCAUUUUACAGGACCACUAUGAGUCUGUGAUAAAGGAGGAAAUCCGGAACCUUCACAGACUCAAUAGUCCUGAGUGGAGUGACCCGUUCGAGGUGGCGGCAGCCUGGGCCAAAAGGCAGUUUGGCCGCAGACUCGGCCCGGACACAUUAAAAGAGGCCAGAGAGACAAUUGUGGACUGGAUGGCCGGUCUGGCGGUAGAUGAGCCAAUACAGGCCCCUGCAGCGGCGGCGCCGGCGACAACAGCAGCACCAGCGGCCCAGACCGACCCGGCGAGUCAUCCCCUGAGGCGAGUGAGACCUGUGGCCAGAGCGGAACCGGUAAACGCACCGCCCACACACACUAUCGAGGCCCAGAGACGCCCAGACUCACCUCAGCCCGCCGCCGCAGCAGCAGCACCUGUGGCACCUGUCAUCACCACGACGGCGGCCCAGGUCCACGCGGGACCGCAUGCUCCAGCGGCGGCGCUGGUGACGCCCCCCUCACCAGUGACGGCAGAACGGCGGCCCAGCACUCCUCCACUGAUCCAGAACCUCUUAGACUUCCCGAUCGAGGUUAGUUUCAACUCUGACACCCUCUCCCCCGACACGCCACAGUCGGCAGGGGGCUCAC
ensembl:lncRNA